rnacentral:rRNA from 1 species
UGGGGAAUUUUGCACAAUGGGGGAAACCCUGAUGCAGCGACGCCGCGUGAUUUAGAAGGCCUUCGGGUUGUAAAAAUCUUUUCUAUGGGAAGAAAAUGACAGUACCAUAGGAAUAAGGACCGGCUAAUUACGUGCCAGCAGCCACGGUAAUACGUAAGGUCCGAGCGUUGUCCGGAAUCAUUGGGCGUAAAGGGUACGUAGGCGGGUAAGCAAGUUAGAAGUGAAAUCCUAUAACUCAACUAUAGUAAGCUUUUAAAACUGCUCAUCUUGAGGUAUGGAAGGGAAAGUGGAAUUCCUAGUGUAGCGGUGAAAUGCGCAGAUAUUAGGAGGAAUACCGGUGGCGAAGGCGACUUUCUGGCCAUAACCUGACGCUGAGGUACGAAAGCGUGGGUAGCAAACAGG